rnacentral:lncRNA from 1 species
GCCCCCCGCCCGCCCGAGCCUCGGCCGCGGGCCUCCCUCCUCCGUUAUCCCGCCUGCCCGCGCAAAACUCACACAACCCUCUUCAUUCGACCUACCUCCCUUGGGCACGUCUCGCAGUCAGGCUUGCGUUGGGGCCGUUUACUUCCCUUCGAUUAGACAACCAGGCCCCCGGGGCUGGGGCUGCGGCCUCCCCUCCCCGCCCGGCACACGCGGGCACAGCGUGGUUACCCUGGUUACUCAAAAGGAAGAGGCCGCUUGAACUGAGAAAAGCACAACGUGUGAAUACGGUGGCUUCUUGUGAGAAGGGGCCAUUCUAUUGUAACUGUGAAUCUGCAGCAGUAAUCUUUUUGGCUUUGUCCUAGCCUUUGACUACGUGGGUGCUUAAUACAUGCAUGUUGAAUGAACAAAUAAAAAGAAUUCUAAACA